GACGAACGCUGGCGGCGUGCUUAACACAUGCAAGUCGAACGAAGUGGCGUACGGGUGAGUAACGCGUAAUCAACCUGCCCUUCAGAGGGGGACAACCGUUGUCAACGACUUCUAAUACCGCAUACUGUAGGAGGGGAUUGUGUCUGAUUAGCUAGUUGGAGGGGUAACGGCCCACCAAGGCGAUGAUCAGUAGCCGGUCUGAGAGGAUGAACGGCCAAAUGGGGACUGGGACACGGCACAGACUCCUACGGGAGGCAGCAAGGGGGAAACUUGCGAAAUGGACGAAAGUCUGACGGAGCAACGCCGCGUGAGUGAAGACGGCCUUCGGGUUGUAAAGCUCUGUUAAUCGGGACGAGGUACCGGAAUAGAAAGCCACGGCUAACUACGUGCCAGCAGCCGCGGUAAUAC
rnacentral:rRNA from 1 species